rnacentral:tRNA from 1 species
UCCCGGGUCGUCUAAUGGUCAGGACAUGUCGUUUAUGGUUCACUGCAACCGAUGAAAUCCGGGUUCGACUCCCGGCUCGGGAA